GGCCAGGUAGCCAAGUGGCUAAGGCGUCGGUUUGCAAAACCGAUAUACACGGGUUCGACUCCCGUCCUGGCCU
rnacentral:tRNA from 1 species